UACAGAGGUCUCAAGCGUUGUUCGGAUUCAUUGGGCGUAAAGGGUGCGUAGGUGGCGGGGUAAGUCAGGUGUGAAAUCUCGGGGCUCAACCCCGAAACUGCACUUGAUACUGCCUUGCUCGAGUACUGGAGAGGAGAUUGGAAUUUACGGUGUAGCAGUGAAAUGCGUAGAUAUCGUAAGGAAGACCAGUGGCGAAGGCGAAUCUCUGGACAGUUACUGACACUGAGGCAUGAAGGCCAGGGGAGCAAACGGG
rnacentral:rRNA from 1 species